rnacentral:rRNA from 2 species
UACGUAGGGGGCAAGCGUUGUCCGGAUUUAUUGGGCGUAAAGAGCGUGUAGGCGGCCAGGUAGGUCCGUUGUGAAAACUCGAGGCUCAACCUCGAGCUGUCGAUGGAAACCAUCUGGCUAGAGUCCGGAAGAGGAGAGUGGAAUUCCCGGUGUAGCGGUGAAAUGCGCAGAUAUCGGGAAGAACACCCGUGGCGAAGGCGGCUCUCUGGGACGGUACUGACGCUGAGACGCGAAAGCGUGGGGAGCGAACAGG